rnacentral:sRNA from 1 species
UUUUCUACUCGAAAUUUUGACCUCAAUGUACUUUUUCGGGCCUUUUCGUGAUCUUUGCUAUAGUACUGGGCGGAAACUAUAUGUUCAGACACUGUUUUCGAAUAUUUAGGAUAUAUCAAAGCUCUUCUAAACAAGAUAGGGUAUUCCUACAUAGCUGGUGGGACCCACAGCAAAUGGAUCAUAAAGUCUACAAAAAAGAAUAGAUACGAUUGCAUUGCAUGUAGUAACGGAUGCGAUCAUACCAUCAUUAAUGCACCGGAUCCCAUCAGAACUCUAAAGUUAAGCGUGUUUGGGCGAGAGUAGUACUAGGAUGGGUGACCACUCGGAAUGUCCUCGUGUUGCAUCCCUCUUUUUCGGUUUUUCUCUUUUUUUUUGUUAAAAAUGUAUGACUCUAUAAAUUCUAGACCGUGAGGCCAAACUUAGCAUGUGAUACCUUUCCGGAAAGCUCAAAGAUAGCUCUCCGAUGAAAGAGGAAGGAAAAUGGAAUUCUUCUAUUGUUUUUUUUUCUACUCCAAAUUUUGACCUUAGUGUACUUUUUCGAGCCUUUUCGUGAUCUUUGCUAUAUUACGGGGCGAAAAUUUUAUGUUCGGACAUUGUUUUCAAAUAUUUUGUAUCAAUCAAAGCUCUUAUAAACAAGAUAGGGUAUUCCUACAUAGCUGGUGGGACACACGACAAAUGGAUCAUAAAGUCUUCAAAAAAGAAUAGAUACGAUUGCAUUGCAUGUAGUAACAGAUGCGAUCAUACUAGCAUUAAUGCACCGGAUCCCAUCAGAACUCUAAAGGUAAGCGUUCUUGGGCGAGAGUAGUACUAGGAUGGGUGACCUCCCGGAACGUCCACGUGUUGCAUCCCUAUUUUUCCGGUUUUUCUCUUUUUUUUU